GAAAAUAAGGUGCACUCACAGGUCUUCAAAUGCACUUAUUUUUAUUUUACAUGAAAAUUUACAUGUGCAAAAAAAUCUACAAUGUAGAUUUUUUUGCACAUGUAAAAUAAAAAUGAGCACAUUUGAAGACCUGUGAGUGCACCUUAUUUUC